UACGAGGGGUGCAAGCGUUGCUCGGAAUUAUUGGGCGUAAAGGGCAGGUAGGUGGUCUUAUUUGUCUGGGGUGAAAGCCUUGGGCUCAACUCAAGAAGUGCCCCAGAAACGGUAAGACUAGAGUCCUGGAGAGGGUCGUGGAAUUCCCGGUGUAGCGGUGAAAUGCGUAGAGAUCGGGAGGAACACCAGCGGCGAAGGCGGCGACCUGGACAGGCACUGACACUCAACUGCGAAAGCGUGGGGAGCAAACAGG
rnacentral:rRNA from 1 species